UCCGUCACUGUUACUACUGCU
rnacentral:miRNA from 1 species